rnacentral:lncRNA from 1 species
GGGAGCCCGGCGGACGCUGGGUCUGCAGAUGCCAUCCAGGCGCACGGCGGGUAUAGUGGUUCCGCAACCUUGGGAUGUUCGGCUGAGCGCCUGCCUAACAUGGGAGCGCCUGCCUAACCCUCCUGACUGGAGGGUCAGCGGCGGGGAGUCCUGGCCUUCAAUCGGCCAUCGCCACGGCAGAAACUGGGGCCCGGGCUGCGUCCAGGCCCUUCCCCGUCCGUCCACAGGUCUCAUGGGCGCCCGGACUGGGGCUGAUGUAGUUUCCCGACCUCUGACACAUAGGAUCUGGAGAUUAAAGCUGCUCUGCUAAUAAUUAGGUUCCCACCUCUCAAGAUCAUUAGGAGCUUCUUUUCCAAUUCCUCUGUUUUGCAUGCAUUGGAAGAUACCCCAUCAGCCUGAGUCUCUUAAAGGCCUUUAUACACAUAUGUCUACACAUAGGGAUUUGGAUGAUCUCGGGAUCCCACAUCCUCGCUGUCCCCUGUCCCCCCACAACAUCCCACACCAAUACCUUUCUGAAGUUUUCUAGUCCCUCCUUUUUGUUUGUGGUCCUUAAAGCCCAGCCCCAUGCCUGACUUUGGUUCCCAGUGAGCAUUGUACAUUUGUGGAUAUUAAAUCUUUGGCAAAGUCAUUUA